GACGAACGCUGGCGGCGUGCCUAAUACAUGCAAGUAGAACGCUGAAGGAGGAGCUUGCUUCUCUGGAUGAGUUGCGAACGGGUGAGUAACGCGUAGGUAACCUGCCUGGUAGCGGGGGAUAACUAUUGGAAACGAUAGCUAAUACCGCAUAAGAGUAGAUGUUGCAUGACAUUUGCUUAAAAGGUGCAAUUGCAUCACUACCAGAUGGACCUGCGUUGUAUUAGCUAGUUGGUGAGGUAACGGCUCACCAAGGCAACGAUACAUAGCCGACCUGAGAGGGUGAUCGGCCACACUGGGACUGAGACACGGCCCAGACUCCUACGGGAGGCAGCAGUAGGGAAUCUUCGGCAAUGGACGGAAGUCUGACCGAGCAACGCCGCGUGAGUGAAGAAGGUUUUCGGAUCGUAAAGCUCUGUUGUAAGAGAAGAACGAGUGUGAGAGUGGAAAGUUCACAUUGUGACGGUAUCUUACCAGAAAGGGACGGCUAACUACGUG
rnacentral:rRNA from 1 species